rnacentral:rRNA from 1 species
AUUGAACGCUGGCGGCAGGCCUAACACAUGCAAGUCGAACGGUAGCACAGAGAGCUUGCCCUCGGGUGACGAGUGGCGGACGGGUGAGUAAUGUCUGGGAAACUGCCCGAUGGAGGGGGAUAACUACUGGAAACGGUAGCUAAUACCGCAUAACGUCGCAAGGCCAAAGUGGGGGACCUUCGGGCCUCACACCAUCGGAUGUGCCCAGAUGGGAUUAGCUAGUAGGUGGGGUAAUGGCUCACCUAGGAGACGAUCCCUAGCUGGUCUGAGAGGAUGACAAGCCACACUGGAACUGAGACACGGUCCAGACUCCUACGGGAGGCAGCAGUGGGGAAUAUUGCACAAUGGGCGCAAGCCUGAUGCAGCCAUGCCGCGUGUAUGAAGAAGGCCUUCGGGUUGUAAAGUACUUUCAGCGGGGAGGAAGGCGGUGAAGUUAAUAACUUCACCGAUUGACGUUACCCGCAGAAGAAGCACCGGCUAACUCCGUGCCAGCCGCCGCGGUAA